AGAGUUUGAUCCUGGCUCAGGAUUAACGCUAGCGGGAGGUCUAACACAUGCAAGUCGAGGGGCAGCGCGGGUAGCAAUACCUGGCGGCGACCGGCGGACGGGUGCGUAACGCGUGUACAACCUGCCUUAUGCUGCAGAAUAACCCGAUGAAAAUCGGACUAAUACUGCAUAGUACUAUUAUUAUGGCAUCAGAAAAUAGUUAAAGAUUUAUCGGCAUAAGAUGGGCACGCGUAUCAUUAGUUAGUUGGCGGGGUAACGGCUCACCAAGACAGCGAUGAUUAGGGGUUCUGAGAGGAUUCACCCCCACACCGGCACUGAGACACGGGCCGGACUCCUACGGGAGGCAGCAGUGAGGAAUAUUGGACAAUGGGCGAGAGCCUGAUCCAGCUAUCCCGCGUGCAGGAAGACAGUCCUAUGGAUUGUAAACUGCUUUUUUACGAGAGCAAAAAGGGUUACGUGUAACCCGUUGAGAGUAUUGUAAGAAUAAGCAUCGGCUAACUCCGUGCCAGCAGCCGCGGUAAUACGGAGGAUGCGAGCGUUAUCCGGAUUUAUUGGGUUUAAAGGGUGCGUAGGCGGCGCAUUAAGUCAGCGGUGAAAUAUUGGGGCUCAACCCCAUUCGUGCCGUUGAUACUGGUGUGCUUGAGUGUAAAUGAGGCUGGCGGAAUGUGCAGUGUAGCGGUGAAAUGUUUAGAUAUUGCACAGAACACCGAUUGCGAAGGCAGCUGGCUAAUUUACAACUGACGCUGAGGCACGAUAGCGCGGGGAGCAAACAGGAUUAGAUACCCUGGUAGUCCACGCCGUAAACGAUGAAUGCUCGCUGUUUGGCACAUAUAGUGCUGAGUGGCUAAGAGAAAUCGAUAAGCAUUCCACCUGGGGAGUACGUACGCAAGUAUGAAACUCAAAGGAAUUGACGGGGGCCCGCACAAGCGGAGGAACAUGUGGUUUAAUUCGAUGAUACGCGAGGAACCUUACCCGGGCUUGAAAUGAAGCGGAAUAACGGUGAAAGCCGUGAACGAUAAAGACGCUUUGUAGGUGCUGCAUGGUUGUCGUCAGCUCGUGCCGUGAGGUGUUGGCUUAAGUGCCAUAACGAGCGCAACCCUUGCCUUCGGUUGCCAGCGGGUAAUGCCGGGGACUUCGGAGGAACUGCCGCCGUAAGGUGGAGGAAGGUGGGGAUGACGUCAAAUCAGCACGGCCCUUACGUCCGGGGCGACACACGUGUUACAAUGGGGGGUACAGAGAGCAGCAAGUAUGUGAAUAUGAGCGAAUCUCCAAAGCCCUUCUCAGUUCGGAUAGGAGUCUGCAACUCGACUCCUUGAAGUUGGAUUCGCUAGUAAUCGCGCAUCAGCCAUGGCGCGGUGAAUACGUUCCCGGGCCUUGUACACACCGCCCGUCAAGCCAUGGAAGUUGGGAGUGCCUGAAGUCCGUAACCGCAAGGAGCGGCCUAAGGCAAUACUAGUAACUGGGGCUAAGUCGUAACAAGGUAACCGUA
rnacentral:rRNA from 1 species